GGGGAUGUAGCUCAGUGGUAGAGCAUCUCCUUCGCAUGCAGAAGGUCCCAGGUCCACUCCCUGGCAUCUCCA